GAUGGAAGAACGUAGCGAAAUGCGAUAAGUAAUGCGAAUUGCAGAAUUUCCGUGAGUCAUCGAAUCUUUGAACGCACAUUGCGCCCAUUGGUAUUCCGAUGGGCAUGCCUGUUCGAGCGUCAUUAUCCCCCCUCAAGCCUUCGGUUUGGUGUUGGACCCAUGUUGUGUAAUGAACAACUGGUCUCAAAGACAAUGACGGCGUCCGUGGGACCCUCGAUGCAACGAGCUUUUAAGGAGCAAGCGUCGAUUUUGUUAGGACCCUCCGGGCCCGCCUCCCUACAGUAUUUACUCAGGUUGACCUCGGAUCAGGUAGGAAUACCCGCUGAACUUAAGCAUAUCAAUAAGCGGAGGA
rnacentral:misc_RNA from 1 species